rnacentral:rRNA from 1 species
GAUGAACGCUGGCGGCGUGCCUAAUACAUGCAAGUCGAGCGAACAGAUGAGGAGCUUGCUCCUCUGACGUUAGCGGCGGACGGGUGAGUAACACGUGGAUAACCUACCUAUAAGACUGGGAUAACUUCGUGAAACCGGAGCUAAUACCGGAUCAUAUAUUGAGCCGCAUGGUUCAAUAGUGAAAGACGGUUUUGCUGUCACUUAUAGAUGGAUCCGCGCCGGAUUAGCUAGUUGGUAAGGUAACGGCUUACCAAGGCAACGAUGCGUAGCCGACCUGAGAGGAUGAUCGGCCACACUGGAACUGAGACACGGUCCAGACUCCUACGGGAGGCAGCAGUAGGGAAUCUUCGGCAAUGGGCGAAAGCCUGACGGAGCAACGCCGCGUGAGUGAUGAAGGUCUUCGGAUCGUAAAACUCUGUUAUUAGGGAAGAACAAAUGUGUAAGUAACUAUGCACGUCUUGACGGUACCUAAUCAGAAAGCAACGGCUAACUACGUG